rnacentral:rRNA from 1 species
AUUGAACGCUGGCGGCAGGCCUAACACAUGCAAGUCGAGCGGUAGAGAGGUGCUUGCAUCUCUUGAGAGCGGCGGACGGGUGAGUAAUGCCUAGGAAUCUGCCUAGUGGUGGGGGAUAACGUUCGGAAACGGACGCUAAUACCGCAUACGUCCUACGGGAGAAAGCGGGGGAUCUUCGGACCUCGCGCCAUUAGAUGAGCCUAGGUCGGAUUAGCUAGUUGGUGAGGUAAUGGCUCACCAAGGCGACGAUCCGUAACUGGUCUGAGAGGAUGAUCAGUCACACUGGAACUGAGACACGGUCCAGACUCCUACGGGAGGCAGCAGUGGGGAAUAUUGGGACAAAUGGGCGAAAGACCUGAUCCAGCCAUGCCGCGUGUGUGAAGAAGGUCUUCGGAUUGUAAAG